ACAAGUGGUGUACACAUUUAUCUUAAGUUAAGUUUAAUUAAUAUGUGUGAAAAGUAAUUUAUUAAAUAUCAUAUAAAAGAAUACAACUAAAAAGAAGAUUUGUAAUUCAUUAUAAAAAUGAGUUCCUUUAAAUAUCGUCCAUUGACAGGAGCCUUUAUGAUAAUCAGAAAAAUGGCAACUGUAAAAAGGUUUUAUCGAAGGACAAACAUCUUGUCGAGUGGUGGAAAAUUUGAAAUAACUUUGGAUCAAAGGAAACUUAAAACACCCAAAGGGAAAAUAUUUGAAGUAAACAAUAAAGCUUUGGCUUUAGCAGUGGCAGCAGAAUGGGAUGCUCAGAAAGAUAUUAUUGAAAAAGAAAAUAUGCACUUGACAGCUUUAUGUAAUACCGUAUUGGAUAAUCCAAAUAAUCAAACAAAAUUAGAUAUAGUAAAUUAUAUUACUAAUUGUUUAGAAACAGAUACAAUUCUAUUUCAUUCUAGUGAAAUAGAUGAUCUAUACAAAUUGCAAGUAGAAAAAUGGGAUCCUUUAGUACAAUGGUUUUGUGAUCAUUAUCAAGUAAAUAUUGUUAAAACCCAAAGUAUAGAUAUACCUACUGUGCCAAUAGAAACCAAAACCAUAUUAUCAAGACAUUUAUCAUCAUAUGAAUUUGAUGCUAUUCAUGGUUUUCUAUAUGCAGUUAAUGCAUUGAAAUCAGUAAUUCUUACCUUAGCUGCUAUUGAAAGAGUAAUUAGUGUUGAAGAAGCUGUAGAAUUAUCUCGUUUAGAAGAGAAAUAUCAGAUUUCACACUGGGGAAACGUUGAAUGGUCUCAUGAUCUCGGUAAAUACGAUUUACAAUCUCGUGUAGCAGCGGCAGUCCUAUUUGUACAUUUAAAUUCAUACUUUGUCACUUCACUACCCAAAGGAAAUAAACAUCUCAAUAGUUAACUAUUUUAAUAGAAUAUUAAAUUAUUGAUUAUUUAAUUAAAAAUAUAUCAACAAGGCUGAUAGAUUACUAGAAAAACGUUUUUCCACUGGUAAAGAACAAUCCGGGCCUGUCCAAUCCUUCGUACAUAUACAACUAAGAAACAG